CAUUUAUUUUAUUUUAAAUUGUCUGUCUCUCUCUCUCUCUGUGUCUGUGAAUGUGUAUCUAUGUGUGUAUGUAGGCAUGUCUGUGUCUACGUAGGUAUAUGCCCUUGAGUGCAGUGCUCAAGGAGGCCAGAAGAAGGCAUUGAUUGGAUCACGUGGAACUUGACUUGCAGCACCUAAUAUGGGUGCUAGGAACCAAACUUGGAUCCUCUGGAAGAGAAGUAAGAGCUUAAUUAAUCAUUGGAUCAUUUCCCCAGCCCCUUCUGUGAUUCUCUGUGAUGUAGUGUGGCGGUUUGAAUGAGAAUGUCCCCCAUAGGCUCCGUGAACACCCCAGCCCCAGCUGGUGAUGCCAUUUGGGGAAGUUUUAGGAGGUGUGGCCUUGUUGGAGGAAGUUUGUUAUUGGAGGUAAGUUUUCAGGAUCCAAAGACUCUCUCAUCCAGUUGACUCUCUGCUUCAUGUUUACGGUAAAAGAUAUUAGCCCCCAGCUUCCUGCUUCUGCUGCUGCCAUGCCUCCCUGCCAUGAUGGAUGCAUCCCUUUGGAACCAUAAACCCAGACAGACUCUUCUAUAAGUUGUCUUGGUUGUGGUGCUUUCUCACAGCAACAGAAAAGUAACUAAUACACCUAGGAAGGCAUGCAAAUAUUCCCUGUGAUAUCACCUAGACACGAUACAAGUGGCUUAGUGGAACAACUUAGUGUAUGAUGUCAUGUUAGCCAUUUAUUAUAACCCUGAAGGCUAGACCAUCACAGAAAGCAUCUUAAAGGGAGCCAAAGGCAGACUCCAGUCCCAGGAGCAAGGCUAGAACUAAGGUGCUUGAAGGGAACGCCUUUGUCAACUUUCUUGACCAAUAGGAUACAACUUCCUCAGACUAUGGAAACAAGGACCUCCCCCCAAAAGCCCCUAUAACUCGUCUAUCAACUUGGUAAGAAAGAAAGCUUUUCCAUGGAGGACCUGAGACCACCAUUCUCAGUUUAGGGAACACGUUUCCUCAUUGGGAUCCCUUGGUAGUCCUAGCUCUUCAGUAAAGCCCUGUGCCCACCACCACCUUCGAGUGUGCAGGAGUGACUGAAAGGGACCCAGCGUGACCUACUACUGUCUUCCAACAGGCCUGCACAAGGACUUUGGGAUGGGAACUAGUUUAGAAAAAAUGGGGACAGAGAAGUCAGGGUGAUGACUAGGAAGACACGCAUUCCUUUUGUCCCCAAAAUGUACUACAGGAAGGUGACUCUUGAAUUGAGACGACUAAUGCUUGGAUUAGACAUGUGUAAAACACACACACACACACACACACACACACACACACUUUCUUCUUUUGUCUCCAAAGGCUAUUAUUAUGCAUGUUCCUCAACUUAUUUUGUUGUUGUUUUUUUCAUGUGAUUUUAAAUAGUGAGUGUCUUUGCAUACCACUAUGCACAGAUAUACUGAAAGGACCAAGCAGACACUCAUAACAGGCUGUUCAGUCUUCUCUCAGUUCAUGGGUCAAUGUGAGCAUGCUAGGCCAGCCAGCCUCCAUGGCCGUUCAAGGACAGAGCCUGGGACUUGUCCAGGCCUGCCCAAAAAACGAUAACUGUAACCCCCAACCAGUAAAUUCAAAGGUUACACACCCUCACCCAAUAAUAUGAUGCAAAGGCUUGUACCACCCUGCUUUCGGUUUUUCCUUUUAAAAAUCCCUCACUCUAAGAGAUCAGGGCCAUCCUCCUCCACCUGCUGUGUCGGAGUGUUGGACACGGACCAAGCCUGGGCUUGCUUGUUAUCAAUAAACCCCUGUGUGUUUUGCAUCAAAUAUCGGCUCUGUGGUGGUCUUGCUCGGGGGUCUCGUAACACGGGCACAACAAUACCAUAUAUACACUACAUGUAUAGGCAUAUAUAUAGGCAUAUAUACGUGUGUGUUUGUGUGUAUAAUGUGAAUGCAUACGUAUAUACACGUUCUUUUGUGUGUGUUCAUGCAUGUUGAGGCCGAAAGUUGAGUUAUGGCCUCUGCCCGGGAGUCCAACCCCAUUCACUAUCUGAGUGACACUGGGUGAGCCUUAACCCUUCAGAGGCUCUGGCUCUUAGUCUAGAAGAUAAAGAGACCCAUGUGCCUUGCAGAGGCUUGUGGGUUCAGAGUCAUGUGAAUCGAUGUGUUAAAGGAGUAACAUAAGGGAGGUGGGACCCCAGCUCCAGCCCCUGGGAAGGAUUUAAGUCUCAGAGAGAGAGCAGGGUUUGGGGCACCAGGGAGAAUAAAUACCGAAAUGAGAGGUAUCCCUGUUUGAUACCUGGCAGUUCCCCUCCUGGGCCCAGCUUUCUCAUCUACAUAUUAAGCCCAGUUAGUUGAUCUCCCAGACUUCGCUGACAUUGCUGUGUGAACACCUGUGGGAAGGAACCACUCAGCUUGACCCACAGCAAAAAAUUGGCACCAGAUACUUAAAAAAAGCUGAAGAGGAGCUGCUGUUCACAGUGGGCUUAAAACACCCAGAAGGGAACUCUGGUCGCUUAGAAUGCAUGGAAUUUGCUGGAAACAAAGU